CAGAUUGAACGCUGGCGGCAGGCCUAACACAUGCAAGUCGAGCGGUAGAGAGGUGCUUGCACCUCUUGAGAGCGGCGGACGGGUGAGUAAUGCCUAGGAAUCUGCCUGGUAGUGGGGGAUAACGCUCGGAAACGGACGCUAAUACCGCAUACGUCCUACGGGAGAAAGCAGGGGACCUUCGGGCCUUGCGCUAUCAGAUGAGCCUAGGUCGGAUUAGCUAGUUGGUGGGGUAAUGGCUCACCAAGGCGACGAUCCGUAACUGGUCUGAGAGGAUGAUCAGUCACWCUGGAACUGAGACACGGUCCAGACUCCUACGGGAGGCWGCWGUGGGGAAUAUUGGACAAUGGGCGAAAGCCUGAUCCWGCCWUGCCGCGUGUGUGAAGAAGGUCUUCGGAUUGUAAAGCACUUUAAGUUGGGAGGAAGGGCAUUAACCUAAUACGUUAGUG
rnacentral:rRNA from 1 species